rnacentral:rRNA from 1 species
UUGAAAGGGAAACGAUUGAAGUCAGUCGUGCUGGCAUGAAAUCAACUACCGCACACACAAAAGUGUUGGCGGGUGAGCCUAAAAACCAUCGCAUCGACAUUUUCGGGCGUGCAGUGGUGCACUCUUGUGUCGGCUGGUUAGCAUCAAUUUCGACCGUCAUAAAAAGGCUGGAGGGAUGUGGCUCCUUCGGGAGUGUUAUAACCUUUAGCGGAAUGUGGUGGUUGAGAUUGAGGUUUGCAGCGGGUAUUUCUACCUGGCCUCUUGUUGGUGUCUUGGUAGCGACAGCGUGCUGACGUUAUUAGGAUCAGCCGGCGAAAAGGUUAGAGUGGAAGAUUCGUUAAGGAUGUUGACGUA